rnacentral:rRNA from 1 species
GACGAACGCUGGCGGCGUGCUUAACACAUGCAAGUCGAACGGAAAGGCCCUGCUUUUGUGGGGUGCUCGAGUGGCGAACGGGUGAGUAACACGUGAGUAACCUGCCCUUGACUUUGGGAUAACUUCAGGAAACUGGGGCUAAUACCGGAUAGGAGCUCCUGCUGCAUGGUGGGGGUUGGAAAGUUUCGGCGGUUGGGGAUGGACUCGCGGCUUAUCAGCUUGUUGGUGGGGUAGUGGCUUACCAAGGCUUUGACGGGUAGCCGGCCUGAGAGGGUGACCGGCCACAUUGGGACUGAGAUACGGCCCAGACUCCCACGGGAGGCAGCAGUGGGGAAUAUUGCACCAUGGGCGGAAGCCUGAUGCAGCAACGCCGCGUGCGGGAUGACGGCCUUCGGGUUGUAAACCGCUUUCGCCUGUGACGAAGCGUGAGUGACGGUAAUGGGUAAAGAAGCACCGGCUAACUACGUG